UUCAGGAGGAUAAGAUUCAAGAGAAGACUAAAGAAAAGAAAACUGUGUCUGAUUCUGAAAACAAAUCUAGCUGCAGUGUUCAGUAACAAGUUUACAGAUUGUUUAGCAAAGUGAUGGUUAGGUGGGGAAUCUUUCUACCCUUGUAAAUAAAAUGUGAGCAGCACUGAC